GAGUAGCUGCCCAUCAUCUCUUGCUCUGCCUGCCCACUGUGUGGAAGCAACAAGGGAUAGAAGGAAAGCACCUCCAGCCUGCCAUUACCCACUGGUGAUUCCUCUCCACCGCCACCUGCUCCUGUUCCACAGGAUUCGUCUGCCACAAGUAAAGAGUGAAUCAUACCUUCUGGUGUGUGCAGAAGGGGGGAAGCUCCAAAUAUGGAGGAGACACUUAUCCUAAGCUCUCUGAAGAUGUCACCACUAGAACAGGAGAAAAGAACUGAGCCUCUGUUUUUUGCUCACUCCUUGCCUGAGACCCUCACAGCUUUCCAAACUUCCACCUGAAAAGAAAAAGCAGGUUAAACACUGUUAAUAUCAACUGUUGUGAAUGUGUUACAGAAGAUAUGAAGAGAAAAGCAGUUGCUGGAAGCUAAUGAGGAAGAAAUGAUGAAGACAUCUUCUGACCUGCCCUGCCUGCUUACCAGCCUGAAAGUCAUAGAAGAAAUAUAUUGAUUUCAGAACACACUGAAUUUACUUUGUUGUGUGAACACUGAAAGGGAAACGAGUCAGAUAAAUUGCUCCCUAACACACUACCUUUACGCAUUUCAAACCAUAUUGCUACAAUUUUUUUGUAUUAUGUAUCAACACAGUUUGUAUUUGUGUUCCAUAACAAUGGUUUGCUGUGUGACUUUAGAACUGAAAUUGUUGACCACAAUAUCUGUUUAUGGCGGAUAAUCCAUCCCACCUCACAGGUGUGGCAUGUCAAGGUGCUGAUUAGACAGCAUGAAUAUUGCACAGGUGUGUCUGAGACUGCCCACAAUAAAAGGCCACUCUGAAAUAUGCCGUACAUGUGUAGCACAAUGACACACAUGUCGCAAAACCAGUCAGGAUCCGGUUCAGCUCAUGGAAACAAAAGUGUUGUGUUUAUAUUUGUGUUCAGUGUAACAAAUACUGAGACGUGUAAUAAUGUCGUGUGUUGUUCAUCUGAGGACGCUGCAAAGAACCAGAUUAUUUUUAUUAUCCUGUUUGUCUGUUAUGUGAACCUUUAGAGGAUGUACCUUAUAAUGACUGAGUGUGUUUAUCGCACUAUGUUAAAUGUAACUGUGAGCGACACGAGGCUUACUGCUCAUGGUUACCUCAUCAGUGGUGAAGUCAGCCAGCUUGAUGCAAGAAACAGGAAGAAGAAAAGGAUGAAAGAGCAACACACAGAUGAAAAACAAAAACAGACUUUCUAACCGACAGAGCUGAAAUCUGAACAUGUCACCAGCUGCAGGAGGCAACGCUCUGAACCACGUCGUUCCUCCUCCAGAUGGAGCUUUCACUGCCUAUAGUCUCUUGACAUACAAUGGUUGGAUUCUCCUAUGAUACUGUAUCAGCUGAGCCUCAAAUUCUUAUGAUCUCGAGCUUCUUCAGUCUCAGUGAAUCCUUAGUUGGCUCAGAUGCAUCAUCUGGUGUUUGAGUGUAACAAGGUGGUUGUAACACAAAAGGAGUGUAAACAGGUGAGUGUGGUUUGUAGUGUAAACUAAAGCAGCGUGUCUAACCAACCACAUCUCCAUCGCUCCACAGCUGCUGAGGGAGCUACAACCCUCAUUCAGCCUUUCACAGACAUACGGCAAUGAACUGUAUGAACAAUAAACUUUAUUCAUACACACAAAUCCCUUUAAGGUUGUGUCAGCGAGGGCAAACGUGCCACAUCAAAUACAUGGAGCUACAAGCUGUGGUGACCCACUGUCAGUAAGGGAGCUUUAUUACACACACACAGCAUCACAACAACAGUUACCUCAAGCUGCUUCUAUGUUAUAAGGCAAAGACCCUGCA